CAGCCGCCACGGGAAUACAGAGGGUGCAAGCGUUAAUCGGAUUUACUGGGCGUAAAGGGCGCGUAGGUGGUUAUUUAAGUGAGAUGUGAAAGCCCCGGGCUUAACCUGGGAACUGCAUCUUAUACUGGGUAACUGGAGUGCAGUAGAGGGUAGUGGAAUUUCCGGUGUAGCGGUGAAAUGCGUAGAUAUCGGAAGGAACACCAGUGGCGAAGGCGGCUACCUGGACUGAGACUGACACUGAGGCGCGAGAGCGUGGGGAGCAAACAGGAUUAGAUACCCCUGUAGUCCCUGUCUCUUAUAC
rnacentral:rRNA from 1 species